GGCCCGGAGAUGACAAAGCAACGCCGCCCAUGGGGCCCAACCUCCCAACUCCAAAAGGGAACGAAAUCCCAUCAACUGGCUCAGCGGAGAAGUGAGGGAGAACCCGGAAGCCCCGGCCAAUCACCCCCCCCACGGCCCCGAAGGCCCGGCUGCACCCCCAACGGAGAGGCGGGAGGCUCCCUCAGUUACCACACACGUGCUGUGGCAGGUGGCCCACGACCCUGCAGGCAAGGCCGCCCUGACAUCCGUCACCCCAUCACACUCACUCCUGUGCAAGCGGCAGCUCUGGCCUCAUCACGCGAUGUAACAGGUUCCCCACUCUGGGACCCCGGCGCCUCCACCAGACCCGGAUCGCCCUGGGCAUCACCACCUCCCUUCCCAGAAAGGCAGGCAGCACCGACCGGCCCCGCCGCAAGAUGAGCAUCAGUGGUGGGAAACCCUCCACUAAAGGCAGAACCACAGCCCAGGACGCCUGAGUCAGAAGAGACACCCCCCACCAAAGCAACCACAUGAAAGCCCCGUCCCAGCGGCCGGUCCCCCAGAUCACCACUCACGCUGUCCUGGAACCCUCUUUGCCUCGUCCUGCACCUUCCCUGACACAUGCAAACGUGCCCUCUGCACCUGCCGCCUCAGUCCCCAGAUGCAGGCAACACACCUGCGUAGGCAUCUCUGGGCUGAAGGGCACAUCCCUCUGCGCUUGCUCUGUGGGCCCCACCGGGCGGGGGCGAGGACGCGCUUCCCUGGAAGCUUAGCCUCUUGACGGCCCCUCAGGCCCCCGUGACACCCCAACGAGGCCAGGGCCCACAACCUUCCCCUCCUCUCCCAGGACCAGGGCAGCCCCAGCCUCUACCACCAGCCCUGACCUCCUCCCCAGGCCAUUUCUACACCUGAAACCUCUGGAAACACCUGCCCUCCCUGGGCUGAUCCCCAGAGGUUCCUCACCACCCCCAGGGAGGCUCUACCUCCAAGAGGCUGGGAGCCUCCCCACUCACACACCCCCGCCACUCUCCUCUGGCUGCUUCUGGCCUCUCCCCUACACCCCACACAUGCCUGAACACACCUGGCCCCUCAUGUGCUUCCAUACCUGCUCUGGCCUUCAAUGCUCUUUAAUAUCAUCAUCCCACCUGCUCUGCCCAGACCAUGUCCGCCAGUCCUUCAAGAUUCAAUCAGAAGGAGAGGGGCAGGGAGCAGGACCCUCCAGGGACCAGUCAGACCCCAGGGAUGAAGCAGCAGUACUGAGACAGCGGGCUGUCGGCCCGAGGAAGGCACAUGAGGAAACGGGGGAGCUGGAGCUGGUGAUCAUGGGCACGGAGGCUAGGGGCGCACAGCUGAGAUCUCGGGCUCAGUGAUGGGGGUGAUAGGCAAGGCCCCAGCUUGUGCUUCGGAGGUGAACUCGAGGGUGCCUGUUACAUUAAAAAUAACUAAACAGGACUUCCCUGGUGGCACAGUGGUUAAGAAUCCACCUGCCAACGCAGGGGACACGGGUUCGAACCCUGGUCCGGGAAGAUCCCACAUGCCGCAGAGCGACUAAGCCCAUGCGCCACAACUACUGAGCCUGCACUCUAGAGCCUGCGAGCCACAACUACUGAGCCCGCGUGUCCCAACUACUGAAGCCCACGUGCCUAGAGCCUGUGCUCCACAAGAGAAGCCACCGCGAUGAGAAGCCCGUGCACCGCCACAAAGAGUAGCCCCCGCUCGCCACAACUAGAGAAAGCCCGUGUGCAGCAACAAAGACCCAACGCAGCCAUAAAUAAAUAAAUAAUUUUUUAAAAAAAAAAUAAGUAACUAAACAGAAAAGAGGCUCCUGCAGGACCAGUGAAGGCUGCACACCAUGACCCAAGGACUAUGGCUUCUCCAAUUCGUUGCACCUGAGGUCCAAAAAUAUGAAAAAAACAAGAUUCAGCCCCUAAGUCUCCCCUUAGAAGUCUGCUCCAAGCCCAUAUAUGCUGCUCCGGAAACUCGGCCACGUAGGGCGGCGCCAGCCCCACACCUGCCUCCCCGCCCAGGGAUGUUCCUCUAAGGGACACUGCUGGCGUCUAGCAACCUGCCCUCUGCAUGCGGCGGCCCAGCAGCUAAGAAGCCCCAAGAACAUCUGCUAAAUGGACAAGGGCCACAGAUCCCUCCUCUGCAUCCGUCUGAAGGCCUCGCGUGAAGAGCGCACACAACCGGGCACACCUCGGGCUGAACCCGAGGUUGAGGGGAGAGAGCUGGCAGGUGGAAACCCAGCCACGGCUCCCCCGCCUCAAGUCAGAACUCAUGGGGACGCUUCAAACAUCUGUUCCAAAAGACUGACCUUCUGCUCUUGGUGAAGGGAAAGGGUCUGCAAAUCAGUCAACAAGGUUUCCAGGUUUCUUCGGCAGAAACAGUAUUUUCAAGCAUUUGAGAACAGUGAAGAUAAAAUCAAUUCCUUUA